CUCGUAGGCGGUUUGUUAAGUCGGAUGUGAAAGCCCCGGGCUCAACCUGGGAACUGCAUUCGAUACUGGCAAACUAGAGUAUGGAAGAGGCAAGUGGAAUUCCAGGUGUAGCGGUGAAAUGCGUAGAUAUCUGGAGGAACAUCAGUGGCGAAGGCGACUUGCUGGUCUAAUACUGACGCUGAGGAGCGAAAGCGUGGGGAGCAAACAGGAUUAGAUACCCUGGUAGUCC
rnacentral:rRNA from 1 species